rnacentral:rRNA from 1 species
UUUUUGAAUUGAUAAUUUAAAGUCUAAUCUGCCCACUGAUAAUAAAUUAAAGGGCUGCAGUAUAUUGACUGUACAAAGGUAGCAUAAUCAAUAGUCUCUUAAUUGGUGACUUGUAUGAAAGAUUUGAUGAGAUAUAAACUGUCUCUUUAUAAUUUUUAGAAUUUAAUUUUUUAGUUAAAAAGCUAAAAUAUAUUUAAAAGACNNNNNNNNNNNNNNNNNNNNAAUAUUUAAUAUGUAUAUUAAAUAUUUUUUAUGAAAUUUAAAAUUUUAAUAUUUAUAAAUAUUUUGUUGGGGUGACAGAAAAAUUAAAAUAACUUUUUUUAUAAUUUUACAUUAAUAAAUGGUUAAAUGAUCCGUAAUUUACGAUUAUAAGAAAAAAUUACCUUAGGGAUAACAGCGUAAUUUUUUUUUUUAGUUCAAAUAAGAAAAAAAGUUUGCGACCUCGAUGUUGGAUUAAGAUAAAAUUUAAAUGCAAAAGUUUAAAAUUUUU